rnacentral:rRNA from 1 species
UAGGUCGACCCGCUGAAUUUAAGCAUAUCAAUAAGCGGAGGAAAAGAAACUAACAAGGAUUCCCCUAGUAACGGCGAGUGAAGAGGGAGAAGCCCAGCACCGAAGCCUGCGGCAAUUUUGCCGUUAGGCAAUGUGGUGUUUAGGUCGGCUCGCGGGACUGCUGCUCCAUUCUAAGUCCAGCUUUGAGUAUGGCUUCUGGACUUGGCCCGUAGAGGGUGAAAGGCCCGUUCGGAUGGAGGAUAAGAGAAGUGGGCAGUUCACUAUGCCGGCCUUCGAGUCGGGUUGUUUGAGAAUGCAGCCCAAAGUGGGUGGUAGACUCCAUCCAAGGCUAAAUACUAGCACGAGUCCGAUAGAGAACAAGUACCGUGAGGGAAAGUUGAAAAGUACUUUGAAGAGAGAGUAAACAGUACGUGAAACCGCAUAGAGGUAAACGGGUGGCGUCAAGCUGCACGCUUGGAGGAUUCAGUCGGUCAGGGUGUUGUGUAUGCGCCUGUGUAGCAUCGAUCAGUGGGGCUUUUUGCUCAUCGCAUUGUGAGCGGAGCAUGCCGCUUGUCUGAGGACUGCCUGGCCGAUGCAUUUUCUCCGUGGCGAGCACCACGACCGGUGGUACUGCCAGUCUGCUGUGGUAAAGUCAGGUUCAGUCGACAUCCGUGUUGGUUGGACUUGAUCAUAGGCAGGCGGUGGCGUAUGGGUGCGUUUACGUGCUCGUGCCGCGCUAUGUCAGCGGGUCUGUCUGCUGAUGAUUGUAGUAGUCGGUAGAUGGCCUGGUGCACCAUGGUGGUAUGAACAACUGUGCAGGGCAGCGGUGAUUUCGGUCUCUAAUUUGGCUCGCGCACAGGCUACAAGUGGGCGUGGGGCGUUGUUGCAGUCUGCCUGUGGUUGGGCUCGAUUGUCGUGUUGCCUGCGCAAAGUGGGUCCGGCAGUAGCCUGAUUUUGGAUGGUAUUGCUAGCAGCGUUCCCUGUGCGGGCUGAUGAGGGCCUAAUAGUCAGUGGUGUAGUGGUAGACGAGCUACCCGACCCGUCUUGAAACACGGACCAAGGAGUUCAACAUGUGCGCAAGUCACUGGGUGCGACGAAACCCAACGGCGAAAUGAACGUGAAGCCUUGGCUUGUCCGAGGUGUGGUGAGAUCCUGCUGUUACUCGCAUCAGCGCUUGUGUGCUGCUUCCACCGGCAGCAGGCUAAGAGCAGUAGGCGCAUCACCGGCCCGUCCCAUGAUGUCGCUGUUGGUAGGCUGCUGCUCGCAGUAGUCGCCAGCGUGUCUUCGGGGCGGAGCUUGAGCGCACACGUUGAGACCCGAAAGAUGGUGAACUAUGCUUGCGUAGGUUGAAGCCAGAGGAAACUCUGGUGGAAGACCGCAGCGAUUCUGACGUGCAAAUCGAUCGUCAAACGCGAGUAUAGGGGCGAAAGACUAAUCGAACCAUCUAGUAGCUGGUUCCCUCCGAAGUUUCCCUCAGGAUAGC